rnacentral:rRNA from 1 species
ACGCUCGACACCUACGGGAGGCGGCAGUAGGGAAUCUUCCACAAUGGGCGCAAGCCUGAUGGAGCAACACCGCGUGAGUGAAGAAGGGUUUCGGCUCGUAAAGCUCUGUUGUUGGAGAAGAACGUGCGUGAGAGUAACUGUUCACGCAGUGACGGUAUCCAACCAGAAAGUCACGGCUAACUACGUGCAAGCAGCCGCGGUAAUCUGAGCGGGCUGGCAAGGC